AUUGAACGCUGGCGGCAGGCUUAACACAUGCAAGUCGAGCGACCGGCGGACGGGUGAGUACUUUCUGGGAAACUGCCUGAUAGACGGAGCAAACUACUGGAAACGGUAGAUACUACCGCAUACCAUCAGAUAUGCCCAGAGGGGAUUAGCUAGCAGGUGGGGAAAUGGCUCACCUAGGCUACGAUCCCGAGCGGGUCUGAGAGGAUGACCAGCCACACUGGAACGGAGACACGGUCCAGACUCCUACGUGAGGCAGCAGUGGGGAAUAGUGCACAAUGGGCGAAAGCCUGAUGUAGCCAUGCCGCGUGUGUGAAGAAGGCCUUCGGGUUGUAAAGCACUUUCAGCGAGGAGGCGUUACUCGCAGAAGAAGCACCGGCUAACUCCGUGCCAGCAGCCGCGGUAAUUC
rnacentral:rRNA from 1 species